AGCUGAUGCACAUGGCGGCUUUUCCUCCCAGUUCCGCCGCAGCAGCUGUUCCCCUCUGGAGGUUUUUUGACCUUCACAAUUAUAGGGCCCUGGAGCAAUCCAGUGGCCCUCUUUU
rnacentral:sRNA from 1 species